CUACGGGAGGCAGCAGUGGGGAAUAUUGCACAAUGGGCGCAAGCCUGAUGCAGCCAUGCCGCGUGUAUGAAGAAGGCCUUCGGGUUGUAAAGUACUUUCAGCGGGGAGGAAGGGAGUAAAGUUAAUACCUUUGCUCAUUGACGUUACCCGCAGAAGAAGCACCGGCUAACUCCGUGCCAGCAGCCGCGGUA
rnacentral:rRNA from 1 species